rnacentral:ncRNA from 1 species
GGGGGGAUUUUUUUGGUUUUCCCUACACGGAGAGAUAUCAAAUCGCCCCGGAGGGCCCCGGAUUUUUCCCCACGGCCAGCCUUCCUUUGGGGGCCGGUGUGUCCUUUCGGGGCAUUUUUUGCUCCACGGGGGGUUUUCCACGGGGUCCUUUUUUGCGGGAUUCCUGCCCCGGGCCAAGUUGAGAUUUUGGGCAACAGCAGGUCUGUGAUGCUCUCCAAUGUUCGGGGCGACACGCGCACUACAAUGUCAGGAGAACAGAGGUACCGCGGCGUUUGCCGUCCCUGCUUGAUCAAAGGAGCGGGGAACCCCGGAAUCACGUAGACCCACUGGGACCGAGUAUUGCAAUUAUGUUCGCGCAACGAGGAAUGUUUCGUAGGCGCAGCUCAUCAAACUGUGCCGAUUACGUCCCUGCCAUUUGUACACACCGCCCCGUCGUUGUUUCCGAUGAUGGUGCAAUACAGGUGAUCGGACCGUCGCGUGUCUCACGUGACCGAAAGUUCACCGAUAUUGCUUCAAUAGAGGAAGCAAAAGUCGUAACAAGGUAGCUGUAGGUGAACCUGCAGCUGGAUCAUUU